CUUCAUUGAAAAAAAUCAUCGAGAAAUAUACAGAAUGUCUUGCAAAGAGAAGCCUACAAGCAAAAACAAACACUAUUCAUUGAUGGAAAGGAAAUUAUUCUUACAAAUACUAGAAAAACAUGUAAUAGAAAUAAAAAAAAGCGACGGCACAACAUUAAAAGAUAAAGACCUUGCAUGGAGUGAAGUAUGUAAAGAAUACAAUCAAUCGGCACUAAUCUCUCAAGAAAGAACUUCAACAAUUGAAAAAAUUGUGGCCAAAUCUAAAGCAGUCGCAGAGAGAUGUAUUAACUAAAGAAAAACAAUCGCGUUUAGCAACUGGUGGAGGACCAGAAGAAACUGAAGCAAAAAUUGAUCCUGAUGUA